rnacentral:misc_RNA from 1 species
AACAAAGAUGGCGCUUUCGCAAUAGAGAAUCGAAAAAUUGUUGACAGUUAAAGUUUAACUUGCGAAACACAUCCGAUCAUCCACGAUGUCUUAUUGGUUCCACAGAAAUCCUCUUAAGGCAACGUCUAAUCUUACUUUUGAGUUGGCAGGUGUAUCAACUGAUGAUAAAACACGGCAGAUAUUCGCUCAGAUGAGGCAAACCAGGAACAAAUUGCUUGAAAUGUUAACCGACCCAAACCAUGACAUGGCAACUAUGGAGAAAGCUGUCAAUGACUACUUCUCCUUACUACUUGGCUUAAUACAACCAUUUGAGGAUAAUGAAUCUGAAAACAAACUGAGAAGAACCUGAUAUGGAAGAAGCGAAAGAGGUUCACAAGUGUUUGAAGAUUGCAGCAGGAGUAUUUACAUAUGUGAAGGAUGAUUUGAUUGGACGACUCUCUGACAAUACAGAGAAUGCAAUAGACACAGACAGCCGAGUUCUGGAUGCAUACAUUGGACAGUGCACAGGGGAGGCUCAAGAAGUCACACUGGCUCGAGCUGUUGAGAUGAAGCAUUCCGCAAGCUUGAUAGCUGCACUAUCUCAUGAGACAUCUCAACUUUAUCAAAAAGCAGAUGAUGCUCUACAGAGUCUUGACAUUAAAGUCGUUGGCAAGUGGAGAAAAUAUUUUCAGUUAAAGUGUGAAUUCUAUAAGGCUUAUGCUUAUUGCUAUCAGGGUGAGACACUGCUGGCCCAGGAUAAAUGUGGGGAGGCUGUGAGGGGGCUCCAGGAAGGGGUCAAAUGUUACGAGAAGUCUGAGGCACUGUGCAGAGAGUAUGCUAGUGCUAAGGGGCUGGGAACAUUUGCCCGACCAGCCAAUCAUCUCUUCUUUAGGAAGCUUGGGCCGGUCUUAAAGAGAACACUGGAAAAAUGUGAAAGAGAAAAUGGAAUGAUUUACCAUCAGAAAGUGGCAUAUGAUCCCCCAAUUUUAGAACUGAAGGCCACUUAUGGACUCGCAGCCCCCGAGCCAUAUACCCCGCCAGCCCUGAACCCUCUGUGGAGCAAGGAGGUCUAUGAAAAAAUGAACUCCAAAAUGGCUCCCAAGCCUCAAGAAGAUAAAGAAAAGAAAGAUAAACCCGCUGAGCUGCCCCCUGUCAAGGAGAAAGAGACCCCCAUGUCGGAGAAGGACCCCGGGAAUUUCAGUGGAUGUGUACUAUCGUAAUGGAUGUUCGGAGUUUUCAUAAAGAGAGCUGUACUGAACUGUGUAGUGAAUAUGUAACAGCAAUUAUUCAAACAAAAUCAUUUCCAUAUGACUGUAAAUCAAGAUAAGUUGUGAGAGAAAAAUACUUUUUCUUUUUAGUUGAAGCAACAAACAUGCUACUCUGUGACACUUUGUGUUGUAGAAGUACAAAUUCAAAUGUAGCUUCGUUAAAGAAAAUGGUUUGGAUUACUGGGUUUGUGAAUUGUAUAGAGUAGUUUAUGGAAUGUUCUCUGCAUUUGAAGGGAAUGAAAGUCUUUCAAGUCUGUGUAAUAUAGUGUCUGUAAUCAGUGUUUGGCGUCUUGUCUAUAAAGUCAAAUUUUUUUUUAUGGACAUGUAUUACUACAUGUACAUGUAAUUUCAUGUUAAUAUUUACCUAAAGAUGUACAUAUACCUUAGCAAUGUUCAUCAUCUCAAAUUUUUUUUUAACCAGAAUUUAUUCUUAAUUUAUUGCAACAUUUAUUGCAUUUAUUGUUAAAAUUCAGAAUGUGUACUCAACCACAGAAAUUUUACAAUGAACUGUAUGGAAAAAGAGCAAUUUUCUGGAUUACCUUAUAGCUUAGUCAAAUAAAAAUGUUCAACUA